GAUGAACGCUAGCUACAGGCUUAACACAUGCAAGUCGCGGGGCAGCAUGGGGGUUGCUUGCAAUCCCCGAUGGCGACCGGCGCACGGGUGAGUAACGCGUAUCCAACCUGCCCUUCACCACGGGAUAACCCGGCGAAAGUCGGACUAAUACCGUAUGUUGUCCAUUGACGGCAUCCGAUUUGGACGAAAGGUUUGGCGGUGAAGGAGGGGGAUGCGUCCGAUUAGCUGGACGGCGGGGUGACGGCCCACCGUGGCGACGAUCGGUAGGGGUUCUGAGAGGAAGGUCCCCCACACGGGAACUGAGACACGGUCCAGACUCCUACGGGAGGCAGCAGUGAGGAAUAUUGGUCAAUGGGCGUAAGCCUGAACCAGCCAAGUAGCGUGCAGGAUGACGGCCCUAUGGGUUGUAAACUGCUUUUAUGCGGGGAUAAAGUGGCCCACGUGUGGGUUUUUGCAGGUACCGCAUGAAUAAGGACCGGCUAAUUCCGUG
rnacentral:rRNA from 1 species